UUUAAAACAAGGUACGUGAGGGAAAGUUGCAAAGAACUUAGAUGGGAGCAUGCGUCAAUAGGACGUGAAACCGCUUGGAUGUAAACAGACGGAGUUGAAUUAAAGUCUGUCCGUAUUCAGCUUGCUUGAAAACGAACGGCCGUGAAGUCGGACUGCAAGGACGGCUAGCGGUUGGGCGCUGAUAGUGAGUGCACUUACGGAUAGGCUACGUCACGACCGUUGAGGAUGCCAGAGUGUUUCGGAGAUUGCUGGCUGCCUUGUGCAGACUCUCGUCUCUCUAACUGAGCUGGUCAUAAUCAACGGACAACCAACGCGUCGGCUUCGCUCGACGGUCGGUGUUGGCGAUCGACUGCCCCGUCGGUCUGUGCUUGCACGGACUGGCAAACCUCGGUCGUUACUUAUCCGGCUGUUCGACUUGACGCUAAUGGUCUGUGACGUCCGUGUCAACGUCCCGUCUGACCCGUCUUGAAACACGGACCAAGGAGUCUAACAUGUACGCAAGUCAUUGGGUGGCAAACCCAAAGGCGCAAUGAAAGUGAAGGUCAGUUCCGCUGAUCGAGGUAGGAUCCUUGGUUAAACCAGGGCGCACUACCGUCCCAUCGCAUUUGCUCGUCAAGGCGGUGGAGAUUGAGCGUACACGUUAGGACCCGAAAGAUGGUGAACUAUGCCUGAGUAGAACGAAGCCAGAGGAAACUCUGGUGGAAGUUCGUAGCGGUUCUGACGUGCAAAUCGAUCGUCAAACUUGGGUACCUAGGGGCUAAAGAGCUAAUCGAACCAUCUAGUAGCUGGCUCUUUUUCCACAAA
rnacentral:rRNA from 1 species